rnacentral:lncRNA from 1 species
UUCUAAGUCCUCAUCCUUUACUCGUUGCUUCUCUUUUUCUUCCAGAAGCCACAACUUCCACAGGAGUCCAUAGAACCACUGUAGUGGGAUGGAAGACAGAAGCUAUGACGUCCUUUAGAGGCACUGAGACCAUAGGAAGUGGAAUGAAUACAGGUGAGCACACGAGCUUCCUAACCUGUCCACUUUUCACUUAAAAUAAUAGCCAUAGUAGUUAACACUUUCUAGCAUGAACUAUGUUCCAAGCACUACUCCACGUUUUUCUCAUUAUUAUUUCUUUUAUCCCUCAUCCCAAAUUGUGAGGUAAGCACUAUUGUUCUCACAGACUUUCCAGAUGAGAAAAACCUAUGGCUCAAAGAUAUUCACUAACUGAAUGAAGAUCACACAGUGAGCAAACAACAGAUUUCAACUCAGGCACUCUGGCUUCAAAAUCCAUCCUCUUAACCAUGAUACUAAAUCACCACUACACUAUACGGCUGCACUCUUUUGUCACAUCUCAACUCUUUUAGACUACUACAAUUUCUACAAUACCA